rnacentral:rRNA from 1 species
UACGUAGGGUCCGAGCGUUGUCCGGAAUUAUUGGGCGUAAAGGGCUCGUAGGCGGUUUGUCGCGUCGGGGGUGAAAACACGGGGCUUAACCCCGUGCCUGCUUCCGAUACGGGCAGACUAGAGGUAUGCAGGGGAGAACGGAAUUCCUGGUGUAGCGGUGAAAUGCGCAGAUAUCAGGAGGAACACCGGUGGCGAAGGCGGUUCUCUGGGCAUUACCUGACGCUGAGGAGCGAAAGCGUGGGGAGCGAACAGG